GAUGAACGCUAGCGGCAGGCCUAACACAUGCAAGUCGAGGGGCAGCACGGGAGUUGGAAACAACUUUGGGUGGCGACCGGCGGACGGGUGCGUAACGCGUAUGCAACCUACCUUAAACAGGGGGAUAAUUCGGAGAAAUCUGGUCUAAUACCCCAUAAUAUUAUUUGCGGCAUCGCAGAUAGUUGAAAACUCUGGUGGUUUAAGAUGGGCAUGCGUUGUAUUAGUUAGUUGGUGGGGUAACGGCUCACCAAGGCUACGAUACAUAGGGGGACUGAGAGGUUAACCCCCCACACUGGAACUGAGACACGGUCCAGACUCCUACGGGAGGCAGCAGUGAGGAAUAUUGGUCAAUGGGGGCAACCCUGAACCAGCCAUGCCGCGUGCAGGAAGACGGCUCUAUGAGUUGUAAACUGCUUUUUUACGGGAAUAAAUAUAAGCACGUGUGCUUAUUUGAAUGUACUGUAUGAAUAAGGAUCGGCUAACUCCGUGCCAGCCGCCGCCGUAAGAC
rnacentral:rRNA from 1 species